CUGCCACAUGGUCCAUACCCGCAUGGACUUGCUUCUCUGUCACACUUUCUCUCUCACUCUCUGUUGCACACACACACACACACACACACACACACACACAUUCAUGUCACACUAUACCAGGGCAUCUUAGGCCUAGGUGCCACAUGGCUAGCGCUGGCAUGGAUCAGUCCCUCUGUAUGAUCUUCCACCUACUUGGUUUUCUUCUUCUGGGACGGUGCAUCACACUGGACAAACCAAAGCACUGGAGUAAGCAGCUCACAGUUUAAAAGGUAGGUCCAUACCAUGUGAACCCCUCCAGGAAGGUAAGGCAUACGGCUACAUUUGACUUCUUAGAGUGUCGCUCCGCUAUACGUUUGUAUCAAACACUUGUAUCGACAAGUAAUGCAGUUAGAUUGAAGAAAUCUUGGAUUUAUCUUAAAUGCUGAAUAAGUAUUUUUUUGUUUUUAUAGUUAAAUUCAGUGGAUGUGCUUUUUUUAACUGUAGACUGAGCUUUGAGUUUAUUCUCCAAGGAGAGUCGCUUGUAUUCAGGCUGUGUGCGGCUGAGUGUUUCUAUGUCCUGCCUGCCAAACUGAGACGUCCAAACGGCGGAUGAGUGUGGCAGCUGGGAGCCACAGUGCUGGUGUGUCCUAAGCACACCUUUCAGUGUCCUGCUCCUGUCCUUGGGGAGCUGCUCCCCUUCCUAAAUACUUGUUGACUGAUAGAGAUAUUGCAUGGUAAAAUGUGCAACAAAGCCACACAUUUUUAAUUUCCCUCUUGAAUGAAAAUAUUAAUAUUUAUGUAUAACACCUGCAGCCAUUUACUGCUGUUGACAUCUCACAUGAAUCAUAGGAAAUACCAGCAGACACACAGACUGUGUGGAAAUGAGAUCAAGUCUCUCAAAUACAUCACCACUAUCUUCCAUAUUUUGCUAUACUGUCAAAAAUGUUUCCUAAAUCUAUUAUGCUAAGUGGGUUUAUUGACACAUCCUUAAUUUGGUAUUUUAAUCUUUUCCCCUUGCCUUCACCUCCUUGUACAUGAGGUGCAUGUGAAAGGACGUCUGUUACAAAUAUCUUUGUUUUGGUCCUGGCCAUCGUGCUUUCUGAUAGGCUCUUGGCAACAAUGGAAUCCAUGGCAACUUUAAUUAGGAGGAUUAUUUGUGUGACAGUCAUGUGGGGCAUAUGCUGCUUUUAGAUGGCAGAUCAUGCGUACCUUUAUACACUAAUACGCGAGAGUCUGUCUGCCCAGCCUGUAUCUGGGUCAUAUGUGCUGUCAAGCUGUGACUGACUCAGGAGCCAUUAAUGCACAUAGCCAUCAGGUGGGUCCCUUCUUUUGUGACAGGCCCACGCACCCUCAUACCCCCCCCAGCUCGUCAGUGCAGGUGGUCUGGCCAGUCCACACGUUGUUCUGUUGCUGCUUUCAGAGGGUGUGUGCCAUGUGUGGUGGAGCCUCCUUGAGCUCAGAUACAGGCUGGUCGGUGACAUAAGCUGGUGUGCUGGGAGAGUCUCGCAGACAGACGUGUGUGUACAGAGGUUCUUUUGAACUCUGCUUAGACAUGUAUAUAUAUGUGCGCUGGGCGUCCCUGGCACAGCCACAUAGGCACCAUGCCCUUAUGCGUGUCGAGAGAAGCCGCCCUAUAUAUUCCCCUCAUUGUACCGUCCUCCUCUUCUCUGGAUCCAGCCUCCAUGCUGACAUUCAGUGGAACCCCUUUCAGCAGCAGCCACCCGUAGCUAAGCUGUUAUGACAAACUAUAGCGUCCUCUGACCCCCCCCUCCCCCCACCAGCCACCACUUCUUCCAGAACAGAAUAUGUGGCUGAGGUUUGGGUUUGAUGGGUGCUGGGAGGGUAACAAAGAGUCUGCUAUUGCCAAACCCCUGGGGAACGAAGACGCCAUGUUCAGGAAGAAAGCACUGCCUUUCACCGGCAUCUUUGGUGAAGUGGAGCAAGACACCUUGAAGGCUGCCUUAAGCAAGAUUCCAGAUGUACUUUCUUAUGAGCUCCACAUGCACUGAUCAAUAUUAAGGUUUGCUGUAGGGUAAACAGACAGCCAAUCCUCUUUUAGGGACACAAUCUAAGACACAGAUUUCCUCUAGCGGGGGGGGGGGGGGGUCAGGAGGUCUGCUUUUAGAUGGUAGAGGAUGGAUAGUUAUUUUAUGGAGUUUGUUUCAUGAUUGAUAAUAAAUUUUAAAUUACAGUUUACAGUUUAAGAGAAGGUUUCUUGUUUGAUCAUCGCUAUGUAAUUGAAUCUUCACUAGUUUUCCAGUGUGGGAGGACAGACAGGACAGACCCCUGGCCUUUCUCAGUGUGACUGAUUUCCUCUGGUGUUCUGAGUCAGAACAAAUUUUCUAGCACCAUUUGAAAUCGGUUGUGUUGAAGGGCAUGACACCCUUUUGACAGGGGCGGAUCUGACAGACUGACACACUGGUGUGGUGGCAAAUUGGGUUUUAAAGCUAACAUUUUAUAGCCUCUCAUGAGAAAUUCCUCUGCAACAUCAUGUUAUUUCAAUGGUCCCUGCUUGUCAUACAUUACAUUUUUUUCAAGCAAAAGAAGGUAAAAUUGAGUGCAAUCAGUCACUAAAAUUGCUAUUUUUAUUUUUGAAAGCUCUCUGGCUGAUAUUGCAUUUUCUUGUUUCCAUGGUGCAUUUCAAGGUAUCUUGAACUGUGUUGUCUUUCCCUUCAUUCAUUUUGCAUAAGUUUGGCAUUAACAAGACUGGUAUGAGCUCACAAAGAAAAGCCAAUCAUUAAAUGUACCAGCAGAGAUAUUGAGGUUCACACAAUCCCGUUGAGUCUAUGCAAAUAUAGACGCAACCAGCCAGGACCCUAGAAGCUCUCCCCAUUGGACAAUUACCUUAGCGACUGGACUAGGAAACCAGCCCACCACCUCCAGAGUCUGACGCUGGUGCAAGCAUGUCCCAGAAGGUGAGACCCACAGUGGAUCAACACCUUCCGAAAAGACUUGGCUCGACCGCUGAUAUAACAAGAGGUUGAAACUGAAAGCACCAGCAAAGCAGAAAUCAAGAUCUCAAGAAUUCUGAUGCUGUAGGUUGGAGGCAGGAGAUCAGGGAGUGGGCAGCUAAAGUGAGGAUGAACAGGCAAUGGAGGAAACCGAAUCCUCAUGUGCACCAGCGUAAGCCAGGGAGCCAACCGCCUCGGGAGUCUGGCAAGGAGCUGAACCUCCAGCAGCACCUGCACAGACUUUUUGGCCGAGAGACAGCAGAGUAUUUCCUUAGCCCUUCCCUUGUGGUUCUGCCCGUGUCUCCAUGGCUCCGAGAAUGGAUGGAUCAGAUGGGAGACCAGCUGAGUGGAGAGCGACUGUGGAAUACCCUGCGAGAAAUCUCUGAGGCUUGGCUGACUGAAAUGGAAUCAGAUUGUCCAAAGGUGUCACUCCAGUUUGCAAACAGUACAGCUAGUCCCCCAAGGCGUGGAGAAGGGCACCUGUCUCGCUUGUCCUUGGUCAGGCUCAUGUUUUACUCUGCCCAGCUGCACCAAGCUCAGACUGCCCUGCUACUUUCCAAAACCACCCUGUCCCAACUGAAUGACUCCUGGGCAGGGGAGGGUCCACAUAAGUAUCUCCCUUAGGUCAGAAUAAAAAUAAGGUAGGUCUGCUAUGGACCAGCAAUAAAUAAGCAUAGUGAAUGGAGAGAGAUAAAUGUCUUUAAAGGUGUAAAAAUAAAAAAAAAUAUUUAUGUUUCUAUUUAUCAUAAAUUGUUCUGUUGAAGUAGCUAACCUUGCACAUGUUGUGUUAAACUUUGUAUUCUAUGUUACUCCAGAGGUUCUUCAGUCCAAUCACGCUAUAUUAAACUUAAUGGCAAAUACAAUCCACAAGAGGGCAGGAGAUGCCCACAAACAAAUCUGACGCCGAACGAUUUGCUUUCAUUAUUUACGCUAUAUGGACAAAAGUACUGGGACACGCCUCUUAAUCACUGAAUUCAGGUGGUUCAUUCAGAUCCAUUGCCACAGGUAUAUAAAAUCAAGUAUGUAGCCAUGCAGUCAGGUUUACAAUCAUUUGUGAAAGAAUGGGUUGUUCUGAAGAGCUCAGUCAAUUCAAGCAUGGUACCAUCACAGGAUGCCAUCUUUGCAAUAGGUCCAUUCGUGAAAUUUCUUCCUUGCCAGAUAUUCCAUGGUCGACUGGUAGUAGUAUUAUUGCAAAGUGCAAGCAUUUAGGAACAACAGAAACUUUGUAAAGUAACAGAGCGGGAUCACCAAGCGCUGAAGUACAUAGUGCAUGAAAGUUGCCAAUGUUCUGUUGACUCAAUAACUGCAGAGUUCCACAAUUCCUCUGGCAUUAACCCCAGCACAAAACUUGUCCUGGGAGCUUCAAGGAAUGGGCUUCCAUGGCUGAGCAGCUGCACAAUGCCAAGCUUCGGGUGGAGUGGUGUAAAUCACGCCACCACUGCACUGUGGAUGGUGCAGUGGAAACGUGUUCUGUGGAGUGAUGAAUCAUGCUUCUCUGUCUGCCAGUCUGAUAGACAAAGUCUGAGAUUGGCAGAUGCCAAGAGAAUGCUUCUUGUCUGAUUGCAUUGGGUCAAUUGUAAAAUGUGGAGUGUGUGUGUGUGUGUGUGUUUGUUGGGGGAUAAUGGCAUGGGGUUCAUUUUCAGGGGUUGGGCUAUGCCCCUUAGUUCCAUUGAAGGGAACUCUUAAUGUUUCAGCAUACCAAGACAUUUUGGACAAAUCUAGGCUUCCAACUUUGUGGGAACAGUUUGGGGGAGGCCCUUUUCUGUUCCAGCAUGACUGUGCCCCAGUACACAAAGCAAGGUACAUAAAGACACGGUUGGGUGAGUUUGAUGUGAAAGAACUUGACUGGCCUGCACUAACCUCUGACCUCAACCCCAUCAAACACCUUUGAACAGAGAUUGUGAGCCCGGCCUUCAUAUUCGACUUCAGUGCCGGACCCCACGAUUGCUCUUCUGGAUUAAUCUGCAAAAGUUUCCGUAGACAAAUCUUGUGGAAAUCCUUCCCAGAAGAGUGGCAGCUGUUAUAGCUGCAAAGGGGGGACCAACUCCAUACAAAUGCCUAUGGCUUUAAAAUGUGAUGUCAUAAAAUUUCCUGUAGGUGUAAUGGGCAGGUGUCCCAAUACUUUUGUAUAUUUAUGUAUAGUAUAUUUAAUGUGCAAGUUUGUACAUGCUAAUUUUUUUCUGUUCAUAAAUGUAUUAAAGUAAUGAAUAAGGUAAUAAAAAAUGAAUAAAUCUG